AGAAUUGGUCUAGUCGGAGUGUGGGGUGAGAAAGAGGGUUUCAGAAGUUCACUCAGCCCGUGAUGCAGGUGUCUGGAGACCCAAGCGGCCCUGGCCUCUACAGCCAAUACUGAACUGACCAGAAGUACAAAAGGAAUGAGGUUUCCGGGUUACAGGAUGGUGGGAUGUGGAGAUGGAGGAAUUGAGGAGAGGCAUCUGAAACUUUAGGAAAGCUGGAUUUCUGUGCUGAGAGUAACCUUUAAAAUAGGUGCAAGCCACUAAGACAAAGAGAAGGCUAGCCAAAAAAAAAAAAAUAAGGAGGACGUCCUGGAGGAGGGGCCCUGCAAGCCGGGCUCUGAAGGAAGACGGAUGUGGAGCUGAAAGAACAGAGGAAGGUGCUUUUUCCCAUGAAAAUGUUAGAGAAACUCAAAAAGUUUUGACAGUUUAAGAGAAGACAGCAGCAGGAGUCCUGGUCUGAGCAAGAAGCAAACAGUGCAGCACGGAGGCACCGGGAGACAGAUGCUAAGUGAUGGAGGCAGGCGGGGACCUGCCCGCUCUUCCCUGCCGGCUGUCUUCGUGGCCCAGCUGACGUGUCCUCUGCAGCCCGUGGGGGCAGGGGCCCAUCUCAGACAAGGCACAGGAAGCUUGGCAAACCUUGGCUUCUUCCUAAGAAAAGCAGGCUCGGCAAUGCCUACCUCAUGUGGGCAGUAGGAAAAGUGCUUAACACAGCACCUGGCUGCAAUAUACACAAGAUCGAGAAAUGCUUUUAAUAAUAGUACUAAUAGGGAUUGCUUAUACAGUGCUUACUACCUACCAGGAGUGGUUUUAAGCACUUUAUCUAUAUGACUGAUUUAAUCUUUUACAGCCCCGUAAGGCAAAUCCCAUUAUUAUCUCCACUUUACAAAGGAGGACACUAAGAUACAGAGAGGGUCUGUCACUUGCCUAUGGUCACAGAGCUGGUAGAUCUGGGAUUCAAACUCAGGUGGUCUGGCUCCAGAGGCUAGGUGUGAAUACAGAUAGAUGAAUAAAUUAGAAAGCUGGUGUAGGAGUUCCCUCUGUAGCACAACGGGAUCAGUGGCCUCUUGGGAGUGCUGGAAUAUAGGUUUGAUCACCUGCUCUGCCCAGUGGGUUAAGGAUCGGGUGUUGACGAAGCUUUGGCUUAGGUUAUGACUGCAGCUCAGAUCUGAUCCCUGGCCUGGGAAUUCCAUAUGCCAGGGGGCAGCCAAAAAAAAAAAAAGCCGGUAUAUUGGAUGGACAAAGAUCGGGGAUCCUUGUGAGUUUCAGCAAGAGGCGGGUUAUUCAAGUAGCACAUUGAUGUCUUGAAGGCUGGACGUUCUAGUCCCGGCCUCAUGGCACCCAGGAACCACAGUCAAUCAUCUAAUGUUGCUGUGCAGUGGCCUCACCUACUCUCAGCUAGAAGUGAAGGCUGUCUCCCUUGCUGAAACAGGGAUAGUAUUUGCUAUAAUUUGGAAAGUUAGAACUGGGAAGGACCCAGAGAUCACCUGACCCCCAACUGUAUGUCUGAGGGAACUGAGGCAAGAGGGGAAGUGCCCCACCCAGAGUCACGAGUGCCUGCUGACACAGCCCCCACAUCCUUGCCCAGCGCUGUUUUCUCGGCACCAUAUGGCCUCUUCUUCAUGCCAGGAAAGUCGUAUCUGGAAGUUGGAAGAACAAUUACAGAAAAAAAACCAAUUUUUUUUUUUUUUGAAGAGUUGAAUGCAGGAAUACAUGGCAGAUUGUUCUGCAAUGAGAAGGGCUCCCUUUGUUGCAUGAAGUUCCUAUUUCUGUGAGUCUGCUGACGUCAUCAGGCUUUGCCUUUCUUCCUUCCUGAAGGCUUGGGGACAGGACACUGAUACAAAAUGCACCCUCCCUGACCAAACAGGCCACUUGCUGUUCCCCAACUAUCACAGCCACAAGGGACUUUCUGGGCUUGAGGCACCUCAGGUCAUUUGGUCAAGUUCUGGCUCAGCCAGGUCUGGGUGUGAAUCUCCAGCCUCAGCUUAUUGGGCCGUGACCUUUGGCAAAUACCUUAACAGGCUCCUUAUCUCCAUUUCCCACUUAUCAAAUGGGGAAAUUACCCCCUCCUCUUGUGGGGUUAUAUAAAUGACAUUAACAUGUGUACGGAAAGAAUUUAGCCUAGGGCCUGGCCCUCAGUUAAAAGGGAGACAGGAUGGCUCCCUAGGAGGUCGGAUUCCACAUACCGUUCUGAUUUAUGUUGUUUGGGUUUGCAUCUUAUCUCUCUCUUAAGGAGAUGCCAAUCUAAUUGGCAGGAAGUGGGCCAAGUUCAUCUUUCUCUCCUGUGGCACCCACCGGGAGCCCUGCACAAAGUCAGUGCUCAGCGAGCACACGUUCCAUUGGGGUGAACUGGACACAAACAGGAUGAGUUCAUCGUCACCAGAAGCUGGUGUUGCAGCUUUUGUAAAAAGCCUUGGGGACCACCCUUCUAAACAGGCUUGGAUGUUCUGGGUAGAAAUAGAGAGUGGGGUAUCACUCACAACCCUCAUUAGAGUCUGCUUGUGGGUGAUAAACACAGUAAUAGCCUCCACCUAUAGGGGACUCCAAAUAGCCACCCAGGCUCUUCCUACCCUCAUCCUCACAUCACACUUACUGAGUGAGACAUUAUCAACCCUACCUGGUAGGAAACCGAGGCUCUGAGAGAUCCGCCAAAGGUCAGAUGCCAAGUGUACGCUGGGCCAAGGUCUGAACCCAAGCUUGUCUGACUCCCAAGUCCACCCUCUCUGCCCAGAGGCCUAAAAACCCCCUCCCACUAUCUAGCAGGCCCCCCGUGCCUGUUUCUGUAUGGCCCUAAAGCUAAGAAGGGUUUUUACACUUUUAUUUUUUAAUUUUUAUUUUAUUUUAUCAUUUUUUGACUUUUUUAGGGCCACACCCGCAGCAUAUGGAAGUUCCCAUGCCAGGGGUCGAAUCAGUGCUGUAGCUGCUGGCUUACACCACAGCAACAGCAACACAGGAUCUAAGCCAUGUCUGGGACCUACACCACGACUCAUGGCAAUGCCAGAUCCUUAACCCACUGAGCGAGGCCAGGGAUCAAACCUGCGUCCUCAUGGAUACUAGUUGAGUUUGUUAACCACUGAGCCACAACGGGAACUCUGGUUUUUAUACUUUUACAUAGUUGGAGAAGAAAUCAAAAGUAAACUAAUAUUUUGUGACACAGGAAAAUUAUAUGAUAUCCUAAUUUCAGUGUCUAUAAAUAAAGCUUUAUUAAUAAGACU
rnacentral:lncRNA from 1 species